GACGAACGCUGGCGGCGUGCUUAACACUUGCAAGUCGAACGGAAAGGCCCUGCUUUCGUGGGGUGCCCGAGUGGCGAACGGGUGAGUAACACGUGAGUAACCUGCCCUUGACUUUGGGAUAACUUCAGGAAACUGGGGCUAAUACCGGAUAGGAGCUCCUGCUGCAUGGUGGGGGUUGGAAAGUUUCGGCGGUUGGGGAUGGACUGGCGGCUUAUCAGCUUGUUGGUGGGGUAGUGGCUUACCAAGGCUUUGACGGGUAGCCGGCCUGAGAGGGUGACCGGCGACAUUGGGACUGCGAUAGGGACCAGACUCGAACGGGAGGCAACAGUGGGGAAUAUGGCACAGUGGGCGGAAGCCUGAUGAAGCAGCGCCGCGUGUGGGAAGACGGCCUUCGGGUUGUAAACCGCAUUAGCCUGUGACGAAGCGUGAGUGACGGUAAUGGGUAAAGAAGCACCGGCUAACUACGUG
rnacentral:rRNA from 1 species